rnacentral:rRNA from 1 species
UACGUAGGGGGCAAGCGUUAUCCGGAUUUACUGGGUGUAAAGGGAGCGUAGGCGGUGAUACAAGUCAGAAGUGAAAGCCCGCAGCUCAACUGCGGGACUGCUUUUGAAACUGUAUGACUAGAUUGCAGGAGAGGUAAGUGGAAUUCCUAGUGUAGCGGUGAAAUGCGUAGAUAUUAGGAGGAACACCAGUGGCGAAGGCGGCUUACUGGACUGUAAAUGACGCUGAGGCUCGAAAGCGUGGGGAGCAAACAGG